AACGAACGCUGGCGGCAUGCCUAACACAUGCAAGUCGAACGAGACCUUCGGGUCUAGUGGCGCACGGGUGCGUAACGCGUGGGAAUCUACCCUCAGGUUCGGAAUAACUCAGAGAAAUUUGAGCUAAUACCGGAUGAUGACGUAAGUCCAAAGAUUUAUCGCCUGAGGAUGAGCCCGCGUAGGUUUAGGUAGUUGGUGAGGUAAAGGCUCACCAAGCCGACGAUCCUUAGCUGGUCUGAGAGGAUGAUCAGCCACACUGGGACUGAGACACGGCCCAGACUCCUACGGGAGGCAGCAGUGGGGAAUAUUGGACAAUGGGCGAAAGCCUGAUCCAGCAAUGCCGCGUGAGUGAUGAAGGCCUUAGGGUUGUAAAGCUCUUUUACCCGGGAUGAUAAUGACAGUACCGGGAGAAUAAGCUCCGGCUAACUCCGUG
rnacentral:rRNA from 1 species